AAGUCGUAACAAGGUUUCCGUAGGUGAACCUGCGGAAGGAUCAUUAAUGAGUUAGGGUCUUCCAGGCCCGAUCUCCAACCCUUUGUAUAACUACCAUGUUGCUUUGGCGGGUCCGUCUUUAACCGGACCGCCGGGAGUUUUUUACGACCCCUGGCCAGUGCCCGUCAAUAGCCCUCAACAAACCCUUUUAACCAUGUUAAAUCUGAAAAUAUUUAAAUAAACUAAAACUUUCAACAACGGAUCUCUUGGUUCUG
rnacentral:misc_RNA from 1 species